rnacentral:tRNA from 1 species
AGCCCCAUAGUCUAGUGGUCAAAUUUGUCAAAUUUUUUGGCAGAGGCUAAUGAUUCCAGCCUUUGGAGCUGGAGGCCCAGGUUCGAAUCCUGGUGGGGCUA